rnacentral:rRNA from 1 species
CCUACGGGUGGCAGCAGUGGGGAAUAUUGCACAAUGGGGGAAACCCUGAUGCAGCGACGCCGCGUGAGUGAAGAAGUCUUUCGGUAUGUAAAGCUCUAUCAGCAGGGAAGAGAAUGACGGUACCUUACUGAGAAGCCCACGCGAACUACGGUCCCGCAGCCGCGGGAAGACGUAGGGGGCAAACGGUUUCCGGAUUUACUGGGGGGAAAGGGAUCGUAGGCGGUUAAGCAAGUUGUAAGUGAAAUCCAAUGGCUUAACCCGGGAACAGCAUAGAAAACUGUUCAACUAGAGUGCAGGAGAGGUAAGUGGAAUUCCUAGUGUAGCGGUGAAAUGCGUAGAGAUUAGGAGGAACACCAGUGGCGAAGGCGACUUACUGGACUGUAACUGACGUUGAGGCAUGAGAGCGUGGGGAGCAAACAGGAUUAGAUACCCUAGUAGUC